rfam:Pseudallescheria apiosperma strain IHEM 14462 SEQ_SAPIO_0143, whole genome shotgun sequence.
GCACGAAUGGUUCAGGGGUAGAAUACUUGCUUCCCAAGCAAGUGAUCCGAGUUCGAGUCUCGGUUCGUGCA